rnacentral:rRNA from 1 species
GAUGAACGCUGGCGGCGCGCCUAACACAUGCAAGUCGAACGAUUAAAGCACCUUCGGGUGUGUAUAAAGUGGCGAACGGCUGAGUAACACGUGGGCAACCUGCCCCUCUCAUUGGGAUAGCCACGGGAAACCGUGGAUAAUACCGAAUACUUCGGGACUUCCGCAUGGAAGACUCGAGAAAGCUCCGGCGGAGGGGGAUGGGCCCGCGGCCUGUUAGCUUGUUGGUGGGGUAAUGGCCUACCAAGGCAAUGAUGGGUAGCUGGGUUGAGAGACCGACCAGCCAGAUUGGGACUGAGACACGGCCCAGACUCCUACGGGAGGCAGCAGUGGGGAAUCUUGCACAAUGGGCGAAAGCCUGAUGCAGCGACGCCGCGUGCGGGAUGAAGGCCUUCGGGUUGUAAACCGCUUUCAGCAGGGACGAGGCGAAAGUGACGGUACCUGCAGAAGAAGCCCCGGCUAACUACGUG